rnacentral:rRNA from 1 species
UUCCUGCGGCUAGACGGAAAGACCCCGUGCACCUUUACUACAGCUUUGCAGUGGCAUUAGGAAUGUUCUGUGCAGGAUAGGCGGGAGCCUUUGAAGCGUAAGCGUCAGUUUACGUGGAGGCAUCCUUGAGAUACCGCCCUUGAUGCUUCUGAUGUCUAACCGCGCCCCGUGGAUCCGGGGCCGGGACCCUGCAUGGCGGGUAGUUUGACUGGGGCG